rnacentral:rRNA from 1 species
GACGAACGCUGGCGGCGUGCCUAAUACAUGCCAGUUGAGCGCUGAAGGUUGGUACUUGUACCAACUGGAUGAGCAGCGAACGGGUGAGUAACGCGUGGGGAAUCUGCCUUUGAGCGGGGGACAACAUUUGGAAACGAAUGCUAAUACCGCAUAAAAACUUUAAACACAAGUUUUAAGUUUGAAAGAUGCAAUUGCAUCACUCAAAGAUGAUCCCGCGUUGUAUUAGCUAGUUGGUGAGGUAAAGGCUCACCAAGGCGAUGAUACAUAGCCGACCUGAGAGGGUGAUCGGCCACAUUGGGACUGAGACACGGCCCAAACUCCUACGGGAGGCAGCAGGAGGGAAUCUUCGGCAAUGGGCGAAAGUCUGACCGAGCAACGCCGCGGGAGGGAAGAAGGGUUUCGGAUCGGAAAACUCUGUUGGUAGAGAAGAACGUUGGUGAGAGUGGAAAGCUCAUCAAGUGACGGUAACUACACAGAAAGGGACGGCUAACUACGUG